rnacentral:rRNA from 1 species
AUACGGAGGGGGCAAGCGUUGUUCGGAAUUACUGGGCGUAAAGGGCGCGCAGGCGGUUUCGUUAGUCAGGCGUGAAAUCCCCGGGCUCAACCCGGGAACUGCGUUUGAUACUGCGGAACUAGAGAUCGGGAGAGGGUAGUGGAAUUCCCAGUGUAGAGGUGAAAUUCGUAGAUAUUGGGAAGAACACCAGUGGCGAAGGCGGCUACCUGGACCGAUACUGACGCUGAGGCGCGAAAGCGUGGGGAGCAAACAGGAUUAGAAACCCGAGUAGUCC